rnacentral:rRNA from 1 species
GACGAACGCUGGCGGCGUGCUUAACACAUGCAAGUCGAACGGAAAGGCCCUGCUUUUGUGGGGUGCUCGAGUGGCGAACGGGUGAGUAACACGUGAGUAACCUGCCCUUGACUUUGGGAUAACUUCAGGAAACUGGGGCUAAUACCGGAUAGGAGCUCCUGCUGCAUGGUGGGGGUUGGAAAGUUUCGGCGGUAGGGGAUGGACUCGCGGCUUAUCAGCUUGUUGGUGGGGUAGUGGCUUACCAAGGCUUUGACGGGUAGCCGGCCUGAGAGGGUGAACGGCGACAUGGGGACUGAGAGACGGACCAGACUGGUACGGGAGGCAGCAGUGGGGAGUAUUGCACAAUGGGCGGAAGCCUGAUGCAGCGACGCCGCGUGCGGGAAGACGGCCUUCGGGGUGUAAACCGCUUUCGCCUGUGACGAAGCGUGAGUGACGGUAAUGGGUAAAGAAGCACCGGCUAACUACGUG